CGGGUAACCGUCGCCUCCAUACACAUGGAUAACAUACCGAAAGGUAUGCUAAUACAAGAUGAUAUAAGAGAUUCGCAUGGAUUUCUUAUCAAAGCUUUUGCGGUAUGAGAUGGACCCGCGUCUGAUUAGCUAGUUGGUAAGGUAAUGGCUUACCAAGGCGACGAUCAGUAGCCGACCUGAGAGGGUGAUCGGCCACAUUGGAACUGAGACACGGUCCAA
rnacentral:rRNA from 1 species